CUCGGCUCGGCUCGGCUGGGAUAUGCUCGGCUCAGCUCGGCUCGGCGGUGCGAGCGGAGGUGUGCGGCUCGGCUCGGCUCGGCCUGGCACGGUCCGGUUCGGCUCGAGAAUGAGAAAUUCUCCAGUGCACUCAUUUGGUGUUAUUCACAAGUCUCUUUGAGCAUCAGAUUGCACAUUUCCUAAGAGCUCUGAUUCAUCCCUCCCAGACUCUAGAACAAAUACUCCAAAAUCAGUCUGCAGCAUGGGGACAAGCUUUGUUCAGUGCUUUGAAAGAGAGCAGGUAAAGUCAUUACCCUCACUUUGCAUAGCAAAAAUGAUAUGCAUAAAGCUGCAUAGAACAACCCUGCAAAGCUCAAAGGAAACAAAUGGGCGA